UACAUCCUGCGGUGUACGAGAUGACGCCUAAUUUAUAACCUCAACUACUAAAAGGGAUGGCGGAGUAUGCUUGUAUUAUGUCGGGCCUCAGUAAUUUUACUUCGGUAAGCAGGGGAAGACAGACGACGGCAUCAGCCAACCCACCUGCCAUUAGGCGGGUUUGAAUUCGGCUAUAUCUGCGGCACAGGCGGGAUUUUU
rnacentral:other from 1 species